GACGAACGCUGGCGGCGUGCUUAACACAUGCAAGUCGAACGGAAAGGCCCUGCUUUUGUGGGGUGCUCGAGUGGCGAACGGGUGAGUAACACGUGAGUAACCUGCCCUUGACUUUGGGAUAACUUCAGGAAACUGGGGCUAAUACCGGAUAGGAGCUCCUGCUGCAUGGUGGGGGUUGGAAAGUUUCGGCGGUUGGGGAUGGACUCGCGGCUUAUCAGCUUGUUGGUGGGGUAGUGGCUUACCAAGGCUUUGACGGGUAGCCGGCCUGAGAGGGUGACCGGCCACAUGGGGACUGAGAUACGGCCCAGACUCCUACGGGAGGCAGCAGUGGGGAAUGUUGCACAAUGGGCGGAAGCCUGAUGCAGCAACGCCGCGUGCGGGAUGACGGCCUUCGGGUUGUAAACCGCUUUCGCCUGUGACGAAGCGUGAGUGACGGUAAUGGGUAAAGAAGCACCGGCUAACUACGUG
rnacentral:rRNA from 1 species